rnacentral:rRNA from 1 species
UACGAAGGGGGCUAGCGUUGCUCGGAAUUAUUGGGCGUAAAGGGUGCGUAGGCGGUUUGGUAAGUCUUAUGUGAAAUCUAUGGGCUCAACUCAUAGUCUGCAUGAGAAACUGCCGGGCUUGAGUGUGGGAGAGGUGAGUGGAAUUUCCGGUGUAGCGGUGAAAUGCGUAGAUAUCGGAAGGAACACCUGUGGCGAAAGCGGCUCACUGGACCACAACUGACGCUGAUGCACGAAAGCUAGGGGAGCAAACAGG